GUGCUCGCUUCGGCAGCACAUAUACUAAACUUGGAAGAAUACAGAGAAGAUUAGCAUGGCCCCUGCACAAGGAUGACAUGGCAAUUCAUGAAGCGUUCCAUAUUUUU
ensembl:snRNA U6 U6 spliceosomal RNA